rnacentral:rRNA from 1 species
UGUGCAUAACCUACCUCGCCCAGACAAACUCCGAAUACCGUGGGUAUUAUCCUGGGAGUCAGACUACGAGGGAUAAGCUUCGUGGUCAAAAGGGAAACAGCCCAGAUUGGCAGCUAAGGCCCCAAAUUCAUGCUCAGUGUACAUAAGGAAGUGGUGUUGCCUAGACAGCUAGGAUGUUGGCUUAGAAGCAGCCAUCAUUUAAAAAGUGCGUAAUAGCUUACUAGUCGAGCAACUCUGCGCCGAAAAUUAACGGGACUAAGCAUGGAGCCGAAGCUCCAGACUGCACACAUAGACGUGUGCAUUGGUAGGGGAGCGUUGGACAAGCGAGCGAAGGAGGACGGUAACGACCUCUGGACGUAGUCCAAGUGAUUAUGCCGGGAUGAGUAGCGAUAAAGAAGGUGAGAAUCCUUCUCGCCGUAAGCCUAAGGUUUCCUGGGCAAGGCCAUUCCGCCCAGGGUUAGUCGGUCCCUAAGACGAGGCUGAAAGGCGUAGUCGAUGGGAAGCAGGUCAACAUUCCUGCACCACCGUGAGCGUUGAACGAGGAGUGACGGCGGAUAGAAGUUCGUCCGGCUGUUAGAUGCCGGUUCUUGGUUUGGGUUGGCAGAUAGGAAAAUCCGUCUGCGGAAUAUCCGAGCUGAGAGGAGCCCUAGAGGCGAACCGAGUGGAAGUCCGUCCAAGAAAAUCUCCGCGGGAGCAGAGCGGUGACCGUACCAAAUCUGACACAGGAGGGCGAGGCGAAUAGCCUCAGGCGCGCGAGAGAACCCUACGUGAAGGAACUCGGCAAAUUAACCCCGUAAGUUCGCGAUAAGGGGUGCCCCCCGUAAGGGGGGCCACAGGAAAACGACAGCUGCGACUGUUUACUAAAAACACAGGUCUCUGCGAAGUCGUCAAAGACGACGUAUAGGGACUGACGCUUGCCCGCUGUUGGAACGUUAAGGUGACUGGUUAGCCGCAAGGCGAGGCUGGGAACCGAAGCGCCAAUGAAGGGCGGCCGUAACUAUGACGGUCCUAAGGUAGCGAAAUUCCUUGUCGGGUAAGUUCCGACCCGCACGAAUAGCGUAACGACAGCUGUACUGUCUCCACGAGGGACUCGGCGAAAUUGUAGUUGUGGUGAAGAUGCCACAUACCCGCACCAAGACGGAAAGACCCCGUGAACCUUUACUGUAACCUAAUACUGGCUCUAGGUUCGCCAUGUGUAGCAUAGGUGGGAGACGUUAAUGUCGGGGGCGCCAGCCUCCGAAUAGUCUUCAGUGAAAUACCACUCUUGGCGAUCUUGGAGUCUAACCUGCGACCGUUAUCCGGCGUGGGAACAGUGUUAGGCGGGCAGUUUGACUGGGGCGGUCUCCUCCUAAAAGGUAACGGAGGAGUGCAAAGGUACCAUCAAUGCGAGACA